rnacentral:rRNA from 1 species
AUUGAACGCUGGCGGCAUGCCUUACACAUGCAAGUCGAACGGCAGCACGGGAGCAAUCCUGGUGGCGAGUGGCGAACGGGUGAGUAAUAUAUCGGAACGUGCCCAGUCGUGGGGAUAACGUAGCGAAAGCUACGCUAAUACCGCAUACGAUCUACAGAUGAAAGCGGGGGAUCGCAAGACCUCGCGCGAUUGGAGCGGCCGAUAUCAGAUUAGGUAGUUGGUGAGGUAAAGGCUCACCAAGCCGACGAUCUGUAGCUGGUCUGAGAGGACGACCAGCCACACUGGGACUGAGACACGGCCCAGACUCCUACGGGAGGCAGCAGUGGGGAAUUUUGGGACAAUGGGCGCAAGCCUGAUCCAGCAAUGCCGCGUGCAGGAUGAAGGCCCUCGGGUUGUAAACUGCUUUUGUACGGAACGAAAAGGUUUCUCUUAAUACGAGGAGCUCAUGACGGUACCGUAAGAAUAAG